AGGCUCCAGCCGCCCGUCUUUGUAAAGAGACCUCUGCAAGGAGCCGGAGCUUGGAGCGCAGCAGCCCCUGCUGCCUUGACUUUAGAAGAAAUCUCAAUGGACUAUUUGUAGGGAAUUACUGAUCCUGCCUGCAAGCUUUUUGCACGGCAAAAGAUAUCGAUCAGUGUUAAGUGAAGGUCGCAUUUUAUAUGCGAUCUUGACUUUUUUUUUUCCUGGGGAUUCUCAUAUUAUAUUUUUAUAGAUUUUUGUUAUCAACAUGGUGCUGGGAAAGGUAAAGAGUUUGACGAUAAGCUUUGACUGUCUUAAUGACAGCAAUGUCCCUGUGUAUUCUAGCGGGGAUACAGUCUCAGGAAGGGUGAAUUUAGAAGUUACUGGGGAAAUCAGAGUAAAAUCUCUUAAAAUUCAUGCAAGAGGACAUGCGAAAGUACGCUGGACCGAAUCUAGAAACGCCGGCUCCAAUACUGCCUAUACACAGAAUUAUACUGAAGAAGUCGAAUAUUUCAACCAUAAAGACAUCUUAAUUGGACACGAAAGAGAUGAUGAUAGUUCUGAAGAAGGCUUCAACACUAUUCAUUCAGGAAGGCAUGAAUAUGCAUUCAGCUUCGAGCUUCCACAGACACCACUUGCUACCUCAUUCGAAGGCCGACAUGGCAGUGUGCGCUAUUGGGUGAAAGCCGAAUUGCACAGGCCUUGGCUUCUACCAGUAAAAUUAAAGAAGGAAUUUACAGUCUUUGAGCAUAUAGAUAUCAACACUCCUUCAUUACUGUCACCCCAAGCAGGCACAAAAGAAAAGACUCUCUGUUGCUGGUUCUGUACCUCAGGCCCAAUAUCCUUAAGUGCCAAAAUCGAAAGGAAGGGAUAUACCCCAGGUGAAUCAAUUCAGAUAUUUGCUGAGAUUGAGAACUGCUCUUCCAGAAUGGUGGUGCCAAAGGCAGCCAUUUACCAAACACAGGCCUUUUAUGCCAAAGGAAAAAUGAAGGAGGUAAAACAGCUUGUGGCGAAUUUGCGUGGGGAGUCCUUAUCAUCUGGAAAAACGGAGACUUGGAAUGGCAAGUUGCUGAAAAUCCCACCAGUUUCUCCUUCCAUCCUUGACUGUAGCAUAAUCCGCGUGGAAUAUUCACUAAUGGUAUAUGUGGAUAUUCCUGGAGCUAUGGAUUUAUUUCUUAAUUUGCCACUUGUCAUUGGUACCAUUCCUCUACAUCCAUUUGGUAGCAGAACCUCAAGUGUAAGCAGUCAGUGUAGCAUGAAUAUGAACUGGCUUGGUAUAUCUCUACCGGAAAGACCUGAAGAACAUGUUGUUCGAAUUGCGUGUAUCUUUUUCCUUCAGCACCACCCAGCUAUGCAGAAGUGGUAACAGAGGAACAAAGGCGGAACAAUCUCGCACCAGUCAGUGCUUGUGACGACUUUGAAAGGGCACUUCAAGGACCAUUGUUUGCAUAUAUCCAGGAGUUCCGCUUCUUGCCUCCACCUCUUUAUUCAGAGAUUGAUCCAAAUCCUGAUCAGUCAACAGAAGAUAGACCAUCCUGCCCCUCUCGUUGAAGGAACACUUGGUGAUAUCAAGUUGAUAUGGGUUCCGAACUGUAUCUCUCCCCGACUGAGGACAGAGAAGUAUCUUGGAGACACGCUUUCAGAGGAAGUGGAAUUGCUUUUGCCCAGAAAAAUGGCAAAUGUAUGAAACAACCAGUGGUCAUGCUUUAGAAGCAUAUUGCAACAUUCUGGGACUGCUCCUCAUGCUUGAAGAUCUAAGCUUUUCUCCUUUCAAACUGGCACAUACUAAGAGCAGUCAACCUUAGCCUAUGGUCAUAUGUGUCGAGACACCACAUUAUAAAGAGGGAUGACUUCCUUCUUUUGAUUUGAAAAUUUGCACAUGCUCAAUGCUUACAUUGUGCAGUUCAAUGUCACUACAGCUUUUUUUUUUUUUUUCCAUUUAUGCCAGACUCUUGAUACUCUUAAUACUUGCUUGUGAUCAGCACAACAAGGAACAAAAGAAAGCUUUGGGGGGAGGGGAAACAAACUGCAACAUGGAAAAAGCGCACUGACAUUUAUUUUUAAUUUAACAUAGCCUGGACUCUGCCUGCAUAUGCACAUGCUCAGAAUUGUCCUACUAGGCUGACCAUGUCUCACCUCUUCAUCUUGGAUCCUAUUGUGGAUUUAUUUACAAACAUCAAAUGCCUUCAAGCCAAUCCUUGCUGUAUGUUUUGCAGCCUACUGUAGUAGAUAACGCAACCGAUACAUGGGAAAAGAGAUAAGAGGAGGAAGCUAAUAAGAGACUUUGUCAAGAUUGUAUACCUUCUUGGUUUCUUUUAAGAAUUUGUUGCCUUUCUACUAUUACAGCAAAGCAGCAUUUUGUUACUGACUGCCUAAAAUCACUUAAUCUCAGGUGAACGCAUCACUUGCCAAACUGUUGGAAUGCUAUUUGUGUUUUGUUGCACUGUUAUUUUUUUGUUGUUGUUUGGUUGGUUGGUUGGUUGGUUGGUUGGCUGGCUUUUUGGAGAGGGAAAUUUGAAAAAAGGGACAUACACAAAAGUGAUAACCCACCCACAUUCCCUUUUUAUCAUUACAUUUAAGAAGAAAGUAGCAGAGCUAAGAAUGGAGUAAAGAAAAGGCAGUGUGGCAGGCACCAGCAAGAGUUAAGGGCUGUUGCUCUUAAAAACUAUUAUUUUUACUAUUUCAAAAGUAUGGGAGUUUUCCAGUCACUCAAGUGGAGGAGAACGUACAUUUAUUUUUAUACAGAGUUAAUUACCUCCAAAGCACAUAUGUUGAAAAUCAUUUUUGCUGGUGCAAAGUAUUUUAAUGAGCAGGGAAUCUAUGUUCAGGUAAUAAUUUGAAAGCUCAGUUUGUAUGUUUUCUAUCCUGCUCAAGCUUGAAAGAGCGUGAAAACCAAGUUUAUUAGUGGUUAACUUCAGAAUUAACAAGUACUCGAAUGUUGCUGGAUUAAUAACUUUUAUACUUGUGUGGGUUUUUUUUU